UAGGGUAGAGGCGCGGGCCUUAUCAGUACUGCCGGGGAGAUUCAGGAGAUUGUGGAACCGGCAGAAAAGGAAGUCCCGCCGAAGUCUGUGUUUGUCCUGCGAAUACAGGCUGGGGUUGUAUCGAACAGGUACAGGACUGUCAGCGAUUGU
rnacentral:ncRNA from 1 species